rnacentral:rRNA from 1 species
GAUGAACGCUGGCGGCGUGCCUAAUACAUGCAAGUCGAGCGAACGGACGAGAAGCUUGCUUCUCUGAUGUUAGCGGCGGACGGGUGAGUAACACGUGGAUAACCUACCUAUAAGACUGGGAUAACUUCGGGAAACCGGAGCUAAUACCGGAUAAUAUUUUGAACCGCAUGGUUCAAAAGUAAAAGACGGUCUUGCUGUCACUUAUAGAUGGAUCCGCGCUGCAUUAGCUAGUUGGUAAGGUAACGGCUUACCAAGGCAACGAUGCAUAGCCGACCUGAGAGGGGGACAGGCCACGGGGGAAGGAAGACCGGGACAAGCCACCGAGGGGGGGCAGAAGAGGGGAUUCUUCGACAAGGGGGAAAGACAGAACGGAACAGGGCGGGGGGAGAGGGGAAGGGCUUGGGAUCGUAAAACUGUGUGAUGGGGGAAAAAAAAAUGGGAAAGUACCGGUACACAUCGAGAGGGAAUUGAAUAAAAAGGCCAGGGCAAACUAGGUG